UACGAAGGGUGCAAGCGUUACUCGGAAUUACUGGGCGUAAAGGGUGCGUAGGUGGUUUUUUAAGUCCGUUGUGAAAUCCCUGGGCUCAACCUGGGAAUGGCAGUGGAUACUGGAAGGCUAGAGUGCGGUAGAGGGUAGUGGAAUUCCCGGUGUAGCAGUGAAAUGCGUAGAGAUCGGGAGGAACACCAGUGGCGAAGGCGGCUACCUGGACCAGCACUGACACUGAGGCACGAAAGCGUGGGGAGCAAACAGG
rnacentral:rRNA from 1 species